rnacentral:rRNA from 2 species
UUGGAGAAUUUGAUCCUGGCUCAGGAUGAACGCUGGCGGCGUGCCUAAUACAUGCAAGUCGAACGAGUUCUCGUUGAUGAUCGGUGCUUGCACCGAGAUUCAACAUGGAACGAGUGGCGGACGGGUGAGUAACACGUGGGUAACCUGCCCUUAAGUGGGGGAUAACAUUUGGAAACAGAUGCUAAUACCGCAUAGAUCCAAGAACCGCAUGGUUCUUGGCUGAAAGAUGGCGUAAGCUAUCGCUUUUGGAUGGACCCGCGGCGUAUUAGCUAGUUGGUGAGGUAACGGCUCACCAAGGCGAUGAUACGUAGCCGAACUGAGAGGUUGAUCGGCCACAUUGGGACUGAGACACGGCCCAAACUCCUACGGGAGGCAGCAGUAGGGAAUCUUCCACAAUGGACGCAAGUCUGAUGGAGCAACGCCGCGUGAGUGAAGAAGGCUUUCGGGUCGUAAAACUCUGUUGUUGGAGAAGAAUGGUCGGCAGAGUAACUGUUGUCGGCGUGACGGUAUCCAACCAGAAAGCCACGGCUAACUACGUGCCAGCAGCCGCG